rnacentral:rRNA from 1 species
AUUGAACGCUGGCGGCCGGCCUAACACAUGCAAGUCGAGCGGAGCGGCGGACGGGUGCGUAAUGCCUAGGAAUCUGCCUGGUAGUGGGGGAUAACGUCCGGAAACGGGCGCUAAUACCGCAUACUAUCAGAUGAGCCUAGGUCGGAUUAGCUAGUUGGUGGGGUAAAGGCCUACCCAGGCGACGAUCCGUAACUGGUCUGAGAGGAUGAUCAGUCACGCUGGAACUGAGACACGGUCCAGACUCCUACGGUAGGGAGCAGUGGGGAAUAUUGGACGAUGGGCAAAAGCCUGUUCCAGCCAUGCGACGUGUGUGAAGAAGGUCUUCGGAUUGUAAAGCACUUUAAGUUAGGAGGCGUUGCCAACAGAAUAAGCACCGGCUAACUUCGUGCCAGCAGCCGCGGUAAUUC